rnacentral:ncRNA from 1 species
AUAAGCCACAUGCAGGGAAACUUGCACGUGUGGUUCUGGAUGGGGACACCAGUGUACUGUACUAAUAUUUGUAAAAUCUUGUAAUUAGAGUGAGAUUGUUAUGGCAUAAAAAUAGAUAUGGUCUAGCAUUCCCUUGUUCCCUGUAU